rnacentral:lncRNA from 1 species
GCAACAUCCAAGGUGGUCGGAGACCACAUAAUCCCAGCAGGGAAGCCUACAUCCCUUUUCAGCAGUUGUAAGAAGAGAGAUCUCCACUCCCUUGGUAUCCCAUAAAGGAUCAUGAGGAUUACAUCUCUCAGGGGGAAAAUGAGCUCUGCAACCUAGGCCUGGGUAUAGGGAAGUCUCUGGGCCAAAGUUGGUGGUGGUGAAAUGAUGGAACCACAGAUGAAGCCAGUGGUCAGGUCUGGGGCCUCCGCCUUUCAAC